ensembl:lncRNA C3P1 complement component 3 precursor pseudogene
GGAGGGGCAGGAGGGAGCCUGGACUUUGGAGGAUGGGGAAGGCAGGCCAGGGCCCGGAGUGGGUGAAGACUUCUCAGGACUAGGCCAGGACAGUGCCCAUCCCUGCAGAAGCCCAGUGGCCAAUUGAGGCAGGAGGAGCUCCAGACAACAGCAUGUGAGGCAGGCGUGGAUUUUGGUGAGUGUGGGGAGCCACAGGGGACAGGCAGAGCCCACCUGCAGGCCGAAUGCCAACAUGACACCCUCCCCUUCCCCAGUGUACAAGACAAAGCUGGAAUCUGUGGAGGUCUCUGCCUCCAACCCUUACGUCUAUUACAACACGCAGCUCGAAGACAUCAUUAAGAGUGGUACGGACCCUGCCACACCCCUGGCCAUGAAGAAAUUCGUCUCCCAUGCCACUUGCCAUGACUCCCUGGGGUUGCAAGAACAGGAAUCGUACCUCAUCAUGGGCCAGACGUCAGACCUGUGGAGAAUCAAAUCUGAUUACAGCUAUGUUCUGGGCAAGGAGACGUUCCUCAUCCUUUGGCCAGCAGAUGGAGAUGCCAGCAAGAAAGAAUUGCGGGACCAACUGGAGGAAUUUUUGGAAUAUAUGCGCACCCACGGCUGCCAGUCCUGAGCCUCUUCUGCUUUCAGGGAGGUGUCAUCAGGCAGCUCUGGGCCACUGGGUUUAACCCCAAAUAAAGAGCACAGGAUAUGACACCCAAA